ensembl:lncRNA
CUUGUAGUGUGUGCUGUGCCAGCCAUAGGACCAGUGAGGUCUGAAGGAGCGCUUUUACCAGCAUGGUGGAGGAGACCUGGUCCGGCAGAGAGAAAAACAGGCAGACAGAAAGACAAGAGAGAGAGAGAGAGAGAGAGAGAGAGAGAGAGCAACUGGCCGGCUGGACAGGGGCACAGCACAAGUAGACAGCUCCAGUGUUUGCCCACGCCUUAAAUACAAUUCUGGUUUUGAUACCCUCCCCCUAACCAGCCCUGCCCUCUAGCCUGCAAUUGGCCGUUGCUGCACCAAAGCACCUGCCCCAUUUCCCCCUCUCCCUCUAGACAGGCAGUCAGGCCCACCUCUGCCCAUCCAAAGACAGUCCACAUCAGGUUUCAGUUGAGGAAGAAAAAUGGACAGAAAAAUGGUCUAAUUCACAAACCUAUCAAGAGAACAUCCCUGGUCAUCCCUACUGCCUCUGAUCUGGCAGACUCACUAAACAGAGAACAUCCCUGGUCAUCCCUACUGCCUCUGAUCUGGCAGACUCACUAAACAGAGAACAUCCCUGGUCAUCCCUACUGCCUCUGAUCUGGCAGACUCACUAAACAGAGAACAUCCCUGGUCAUCCCUAUUGCCUCUGAUCUGGCAGACUCACUAAACAGAGGACAUCCCUGGUCAUCCCUACUGCAUCUGAUCUGGAGGACUCACUAAACACAUGCUUCAUUUGCAAAUGAUGUCUGAGUGUUGGAGCGUGCCCCUGGCUAUCUGUCAAUUAAACAAAUCUAAGAAAAUGGUGCAGUCUGGUUUAUUUUACAUAAGGAAUUUUAAAAGAUUGAUACUUUUCCUUUUGAUACUUAAAUAUAUU